rfam:Drosophila sechellia strain Rob3c scaffold_12488 genomic scaffold, whole genome shotgun sequence.
UUUGUUUUAGUACGUAGGCACAAUUCCAAUAGGGCUUAUGAAUCGUUCAUCCCACCUACGGACCACCAUCCCACCUACGGUGGUAUCUUUAGAAGAUUUUAAUU